rnacentral:lncRNA from 1 species
AAUCCCGCGCCGCUACGUCAGAGCCGACGGCGCCGCUCUCCGGAAGCCGAGCCCGAGAGGUGUGGAUGAAUGAAACUUUGCGGUCAGCUGCGGCGGAACCCCCCGGGUGGACCCCGAGCAAAGGGAGCCCACGCGAGCUCGCUUAAACCCCUUAGCAGGAGACCCAGCUGUGAAACAGGUGGGAAGGCGGUAUGUCCUUCCAUCACAGGCACUUCUUCAAGCAGGUCAAUUUGGAAAACAGGAGAUAGGACAUUUAAGCCUUUGGAAACUGAUUGGACUGAAGUUAUCCAGGACUUUGUACCACAGUUUGAAGACCACUGCUUUUUAAAACCUCUGAAAUCACUUGAGCUCAGGACGAAGUCAUUUAUGGUUUGUCUUGGAGCCCCAGUAUUCUUCACUCUGUUUUUACACCGGCUGCUCUCUGGAUUUAAUGACAUUCCCAGCUAA